UACAUGGGGUGCAAACGUUGCUCGGAAUUAUUGGGCGUAAAGCGCGCGUAGGCGGUUAUCUAAGUCGGAUGUGAAAGCCCUCGGCUUAACUGAGGAAGUGCACCCGAAACUGGAUAGCUGGAGUACGAAAGAGGGUCGCGGAAUUCCCGGUGUAGAGGUGAAAUUCGUAGAUAUCGGGAGGAACACCGGUGGCGAAGGCGGCGACCUGGGUCGAGACUGACGCUGAGGCGCGAAAGCGUGGGGAGCAAACAGG
rnacentral:rRNA from 1 species